rnacentral:rRNA from 1 species
AUUGAACGAUGGCGGCAGGCCUAACACAUGCAAGUCGAACGAGUGGCGGACGGGUGAGUAAUGUCUGGGAAACUGCCCGAUGGAGGGGGAUAACUACUGGAAACGGUAGCUAAUACCGCAUACCAUCGGAUGUGCCCAGAUGGGAUUAGCUUGUAGGUGAGGUAACGGCUCACCUAGGCGACGAUCCCUAGCUGGACUGAGAGGAUGACCACCCACAUUGGCACUAAGACACGGUCCCGACUCCUCGGGGAGGCAGGUGUGGGGAAUAUUUCACAAUGGGCGCAAGCGUGAUGCAGCCAUGCCGCGUGUAUGAAGAAUGCCGUCGUGUUGUAAAGUACUUUCAGCGGGGAGGCGUUACCCGCAGAAGAAGCACCGGCGAACUCCGUGCCAGCAGCCUCGGUAAUC